CACCCGGGGUUACUUCCCUUAUUGGCGAGUGAAGCGGUAAAAGCUCAAAUUUGAAAUCUGGUACUUUCAGUGCCCGAGUUGUAAUUUGUAGAAUUUGUCUUUGAUUAGGUCCUUGUCUAUGUUCCUUGGAACAGGACGUCAUAGAGGGUGAGAAUCCCGUUUGGCGAGGAUACCUUUUCUCUGUAAGACUUUUUCGAAGAGUCGAGUUGUUUGGGAAUGCAGCUCAAAGUGGGUGGUAAAUUCCAUCUAAAGCUAAAUAUUGGCGAGAGACCGAUAGCGAACAAGUACAGUGAUGGAAAGAUGAAAAGAACUUUGAAAAGAGAGUGAAAAAGUACGUGAAAUUGUUGAAAGGGAAGGGCAUUUGAUCAGACAUGGUGUUUUUUGCAUGCACUCGCCUCUCGUGGGCUUGGGCCUCUCAAAAAUUUCACUGGGCCAACAUCAAUUCUGGCAGCAGGAUAAAUCAUUAAGAAUGUAGCUACUUCGGUAGUGUUAUAGCUUUUUGGAAUACUGUUAGCCGGGAUUGAGGACUGCGCUUCGGCAAGGAUGUUGGCAUAAUGGUUAAAUGCCGCCCGUCUU
rnacentral:rRNA from 1 species